GACGAACGCUGGCGGCGUGCUUAACACAUGCAAGUCGAACGGUGAAAGCGGAGCUUGCUCCGCUGGAUCAGUGGCGAACGGGUGAGUAACACGUGGGCAACCUGCCCCUCACUUCGGGAUAACUCCGGGAAACCGGGGCUAAUACCGGGUAUGACCUCCUUGGGCAUCCUUGGAGGUGGAAAGUUUUUCGGUGAGGGAUGGGCCCGCGGCCUAUCAGCUUGUUGGUGAGGUAGUGGCUCACCAAGGCGACGACGGGUAGCCGGCCUGAGAGGGCGACCGGCCACACUGGGACUGAGACACGGCCCAGACUCCUACGGGAGGCAGCAGUGGGGAAUAUUGCGCAAUGGGCGAAAGCCUGACGCAGCAACGCCGCGUGCGGGAUGACGGCCUUCGGGUUGUAAACCGCUUUCAGCAGGGAAGAAGUCGCAAGGUGACGGUACCUGCAGAAGAAGCACCGGCUAACUACGUGCCAGCAGCCGCGGUAA
rnacentral:rRNA from 1 species